rnacentral:tRNA from 1 species
GCGGGCGUAGCUCAGUGGUAGAGCGUCAGCUCCCCGGGCUGAAGGUCGCGGGUCCGAAUCCCGUCGCCCGCUCCA